AAGGUGAAAGUGAGUGCUGGAUUAGUAAGUCUUGUCCAAUUGAUGGUCGGUCACAUUAGCAGCAAUUGAUCUUACGAACUAGACUUAAUGGGCCCAGAGAAACCGAUGACAGCCACUACACGUCUUAAAUACAAACAAAAUAGUCCACAAAAGAGAAAGCGCCAGAGAGACACCAAGUCUGGAAAGCCGUGUGAGAAACAUUCUUUGAACAUGUGAUUAAGGAGGGAGGAGUACGAAGAUGAGGAUGCAGGCGUGGGACAUGGAAGGGAUGCCUCUAGGGAAGGAGUCCCCAAGUCUCCUUUGCAAAGUAAGCCGUAUUCUUCUUCGCCGUGAAGCAAACACAGUUUUUUUAUUGUUGGGUGCAAAUGUUAGAAGCAAACAAAGUUGUUUUGGGUCAAAGUGCAAACACAGAUUUUAACCGAACAGAGGGAUACACAAGCAAGCUCGAAG
rnacentral:lncRNA from 1 species